rnacentral:tRNA from 1 species
GGAUGGGUGGCAGAGCGGUUGAAUGCACCGGACUUGAAAUCCGGCGGCCGCGGCAACGUGGCCCGUGGGUUCGAAUCCCACCCCAUCCGCCA